CNGGCGGCGCGCUUAAUGCAUGCAAGUCGAACGAGGUACGGUCCUUCGGGACCUAUGCCAAGUGGCGGACGGCUGAGUAACGCGUGAGUGACCUGCCCUUAAGUGGGGGACAACACCGAGAAAUCGGUGCUAAUACCGCAUAAUCUCCACUCUCUAGCGGGAGUAGAGGAAAGGCUAUAUGCCACUUUUGGAGGGGCUCGCGUUCUAUCAGGUAGUUGGUGAGGUAACGGCUCACCAAGCCAUCGACGGAUAGCCGGAGUGAGAGCUCGAUCGGCCAGAGGGGGACUGAGACACGGCCCCCACUCCUACGGGAGGCAGCAGCAGGGAAUCUUGCACAAUGGGCGAAAGCCUGAUGCAGCGACGCCGCGUGAGGGAAGAAGGCUCUAGGGUCGUAAACCUCUUUUCUAAAGGAAGAGAAUGGACGGUACUUUAGGAAUAAGCCACGGCUAACUACGUGCCAGCAGCCGCGGUAAUACGUAGGUGGCAAGCGUUGUCCGGAAUUACUGGGCGUAAAGGGCCUGUAGGCGGCAUGGUAAGUCCGUAGUGAAAUCUCCCGGCUUAACUGGGAGCGGUCUAUGGAUACUGCCAAGCUAGAGAUCAUCAGAGGAGAGCGGAAUUCCCGGUGUAGUGGUGAAAUGCGUAGAUAUCGGGAGGAACACCAGUGGCGAAAGCGGCUCUCUGGGGUGGUUCUGACGCUGAGGGGCGAAAGCGUGGGGAGCAAACCGGAUUAGAUACCCGGGUAGUCCACGCCCUAAACGAUGAAUGCUAAGUCUCCGGGGUAUCCACCCCCUGUGGGCUGCAGUUAACGCGUUAAGCAUUCCGCCUGGGGACUACNG
rnacentral:rRNA from 1 species